rnacentral:piRNA from 2 species
UGAAAUUCCAACCCCCAUUCCAAGUGCUUC